GAUGAACGCUAGCGGCGCGCCUUAUCCAUGCAAGUCGAACGAACCCGAAUCUUCGGAGACGGGUUAGUGGCAGACGGGUGAGUAACACGUUGGUGACCUGCCCCCGAGUGGGGUAUAACUACUCGAAAGGGUAGCUAAUCCCGCAUAUGCUCACACAUUCGUUUGGGUGAGUAAAGGUCGAAAGGCCGCUCGGGGAGGGGCCUGCGGCGGAUUAGCUAGUUGGUGAGGUAAUGGCCCACCAAGGCUACGAUCCGUAGGGGGCGUGAGAGCGCGACCCCCACACUGGGACUGAGACACGGCCCAGAUUCCUACGGGAAGCAGCAGGAGGGAAUCUUGCACAAUGGGCGAAAGCCUGAUGCAGCGACGCCGCGUGGGCGAUGAAGGCCUUCGGGUCGUAAAGCCCUUUUCCGAGGGAAGAGAAGGGACGGUACCUCGGGAAUAAGCCUCGGCUAACUACGUGCCAGCAGCCGCGGUAAGUCACGUGUA
rnacentral:rRNA from 1 species